rnacentral:rRNA from 1 species
CCCAGCUCGUCAUGCUAGAGCACUUUUUCAAUGGGCUCCCCAACGACAAGGCGACGACGCAUUCGUAGGUAAUCCAUAUCACUUUCGAUGCCUCUUACUGCGCCUACCAUGGUGACCACGGGUAACAGGGAAUCAGGGUUCGAUUCUGGAGAGGGAGUCUGAGAAAUGGCAACCACAUUCAAGGAAGGCAGCAGUCGCGCAAAUGACCCACUCCCGACGUGGGAAGGUAGUGACG